rnacentral:rRNA from 1 species
CGCGCAGGCGGUCGAUCAAGUCGAGUGUGAAAGCCCCCGGCUCAACUGGGGAGGGUCAUUCGAUACUGAUCGACUCGAAGGCAGGAGAGGGUAGUGGAAUUCCCGGUGUAGUGGUGAAAUGCGUAGAUAUUGGGAGGAACACCAGUGGCGAAGGCGACUACCUGGCCUGUUCUUGACGCUGAGGCGCGAAAGCUAGGGAGCAAACG